rnacentral:snRNA from 12 species
AUGCUUACCUGGCGUAGGGGCUACCGUGAUCAAGAAGGCGGUUUCUCCGGAGCGCGGCUUCGCGAUUAUUUCUAAUGCGAAUUACUCGUGCGUGUAAUUAUUGGUAGUAAUAUAAAAAAUUAAAAUACAUAUAUAUUA